ACGGGUGAGUAAUAUAUCGGAACGUACCCAAGAGUGGGGGAUAACGUAGCGAAAGUUACGCUAAUACCGCAUACGAUCUAAGGAUGAAAGCAGGGGAUCGCAAGACCUUGUGCUCCUGGAGCGGCCGAUAUCUGAUUAGCUAGUUGGUGGGGUAAAGGCCCACCAAGGCAACGAUCAGUAGCUGGUCUGAGAGGACGACCAGCCACACUGGAACUGAGACACGGUCCAGACUCCUACGGGAGGCAGCAGUGGGGAAUUUUGGACAAUGGGGGCAACCCUGAUCCAGCAAUGCCGCGUGAGUGAAGAAGGCCUUCGGGUUGUAAAGCUCUUUUGUCAGGGAAGAAAAGGCUGUGGCUAAUAUCCACAGCUGCUGACGGUACCUGAAGAAUAAGCACCGGCUAACUACGUGCCAGCAGCCGCGGUAAUACGUAGGGUGCAAGCGUUAAUCGGAAUUACUGGGCGUAAAGCGUGCGCAGGCGGUUUCGUAAGUCUGUCGUGAAAUCCCCGGGCUUAACCUGGGAAUGGCGAUGGAGACUGCGAGGCUAGAGUUUGGCAGAGGGGGGUAGAAUUCCACGUGUAGCAGUG
rnacentral:rRNA from 3 species